rnacentral:rRNA from 1 species
CAAUAGCGUAUAUUAAAGUUGUUGCAGUUAAAAAGCUCGUAGUUGGAUUUCGGUUAAGAGCGACCGGUCCGCCGUUUGGUGUGCACUGGUUGGUUUUAACUUCCUGUAGAGGACGUGCUCUGGGUUUAACGACCUGGACUCGGAGUCUACGUGGUUACUUUGAAAAAAUUAGAGUGUUCAAAGCGGGCUUACGCUUGAAUAUUUCAGCAUGGAAUAACACUAUAGGACUCCUGUCCUAUUUCGUUGGUCUCGGGACGGGAGUAAUGAUUAAGAGGAACAGUUGGGGGCAUUCGUAUUUCAUUGUCAGAGGUGAAAUUCUUGGAUUUAUGAAAGACGAACUUCUGCGAAAGCAUUUGCCAAGGAUGUUUUCAUUA